rnacentral:rRNA from 1 species
UACGUAGGGCGCAAGCGUUAUCCGGAAUUAUUGGGCGUAAAGAGCUCGUAGGCGGUUUGUCGCGUCUGCCGUGAAAGUCCGGGGCUCAACUCCGGAUCUGCGGUGGGUACGGGCAGACUAGAGUGAUGUAGGGGAGACUGGAAUUCCUGGUGUAGCGGUGAAAAUGCGCAGAUAUCAGGAGGAACACCGGUGGCGAAGGCGGGUCUCUGGGCCGAUACUGACGCUGAGGAGCGAAAGCGUGGGGGAGCGAACAGG